AGACAACCUUAUGGGGCAAGGCUUGCUUCAGUGGGGCUUUGGUGCUCACUGAGUCUGCCCCCUGAGUGUGUCCCU
rnacentral:pre_miRNA from 1 species